rnacentral:rRNA from 1 species
UACGUAGGGUGCAAGCGUUAAUCGGAAUUACUGGGCGUAAAGCGUGCGCAGGCGGUUAUGCAAGGCAGAUGUGAAAUCCCCGGGCUUAACCUGGGAACCGCAUUUGUGACUGCAUAGCUGGAGUACGGCAGAGGGGGAUGGAAUUCCGCGUGUAGCAGUGAAAUGCGUAGAUAUGCGGAGGAACACCGAUGGCGAAGGCAGUCCCCUGGGCCUGUACUGACGCUCAUGCACGAAAGCGUGGGGAGCAAACAGG